GCGGCUGUAGCCAAGUGGUAAGGCAUCAGAUUGUGACUUUGACAUUCGCGGGUUCGAUCCCCGUCAGUCGCCC
rnacentral:tRNA from 1 species